UACAGAGGGGGCGAGCGUUGUUCGGAAUUACUGGGCGUAAAGGGCGCGUAGGCGGCCAACUAAGUCAGACGUGAAAUCCCUCGGCUCAACCGGGGAACUGCGUCUGAUACUGGAUGGCUUGAAUUCGGGAGAGGGAUGCGGAAUUCCAGGUGUAGCGGUGAAAUGCGUAGAUAUCUGGAGGAACACCGGUGGCGAAGGCGGCAUCCUGGACCAAUAUUGACGCUGAGGAGCGAAAGCUAGGGGAGCAAACGGG
rnacentral:rRNA from 1 species